GGGUGAGUAACGCGUAAGUAAUCUACCCUGAUAUCCGGGAUAACCCACCGAAAGGUGUGCUAAUACGGGAUACGCUGAUUUAUCAGGAAAGGUGGCCUCUUCAUGAAAGCUACUGUAUCGGGAGGAGCUUGCGUACCAUUAGCUAGUUGGUGGGGUAAUGGCCUACCAAGGCGACGAUGGUUAGCGGGUCUGAGAGGAUGAUCCGCCACACUGGAACUGAAACACGGACCAGACUCCUACGGGAGGCAGCAGUGAGGAAUAUUGCGCAAUGGGGGAAACCCUGACGCAGCGACGCCGCGUGGAUGAUGAAGGCUUUCGGGUCGUAAAAUCCUGUCAGAUGGGAAGAAAUGUCAUAUGUCUAAUAUAUGUAUGAUUUGACGGUACCAUCAAAGGAAGCACCGGCUAACUCCGUGCCAGCAGCCGCGGUAAUACGGAGGGUGCAAGCGUUGUUCGGAAUUACUGGGCGUAAAGCGCGCGUAGGCGGCUUUUUAAGUCAGAUGUGAAAGUCCACGGCUCAACCGUGGAAGUGCAUUUGAUACUGGAAGGCUUGAGUACUGGAGGGGAUGGUGGAAUUCCCGGUGUAGAGGUGAAAUUCGUAGAUAUCGGGAGGAAUACCGGUGGCGAAGGCGACCAUCUGGCCAGAUACUGACGCUGAGGUGCGAAAGCGU
rnacentral:rRNA from 1 species